rnacentral:rRNA from 1 species
GGCUCAGGACGAACGCUGGCUGCGUGCUUAACACAUGCAAGUCGAACGCUGAAGCCGACAGCUUGCUGUUGGUGGAUGAGUGGCGAACGGGUGAGUAACACGUGAGUAACCUGCCCCUGAUUUCGGGAUAAGCCUGGGAAACUGGGUCUAAUACCGGAUACGACCUCCUGACGCAUGUUGGGUGGUGGAAAGUUUUUCGAUCGGGGAUGGGCUCGCGGCCUAUCAGCUUGUUGGUGGGGUAAUGGCCUACCAAGGCGACGACGGGUAGCCGGCCUGAGAGGGCGACCGGCCACACUGGGACUGAGACACGGCCCAGACUCCUACGGGAGGCAGCAGUGGGGAAUAUUGCACAAUGGGGGAAACCCUGAUGCAGCGACGCAGCGUGCGGGAUGACGGCCUUCGGGUUGUAAACCGCUUUCAGCAGGGAAG